rnacentral:rRNA from 1 species
GACGAACGCUGGCGGCGUGCUUAACACAUGCAAGUCGAACGUGCCUGUCCUCUGGGUUUCUGGGGGGUGGGUGAGUGGCGAACGGGUGAGUAACACGUGAGUAACCUGCCCCCUUCUUCGGGAUAACGGUCUGAAAGGGCUGCUAAUACCGGGUAUUCACUGGUCUCCGCAUGGGGUCUGGUGGAAAGGUUUUUUUCUGGUGGGGGAUGGGCUCGCGGCCUAUCAGCUUGUUGGUGGGGUGAUGGCCCACCAAGGCUUUGACGGGUAGCCGGCCUGAGAGGGUGACCGGUCACAUUGGGACUGAGAUACGGCCCAGACUCCUACGGGAGGCAGCAGUGGGGAAUAUUGCACAAUGGGCGCAAGCCUGAUGCAGCGACGCCGCGUGAGGGAUGGAGGCCUUCGGGUUGUGAACCUCUUUCGCCCGUGGUCAAGCCGCGACGUGGGUCGUGGUGAGGGUAGUGGGUAAAGAAGCGCCGGCUAACUACGUG